rnacentral:rRNA from 1 species
UACGUAGGGGGGCAAGCGUUUGUCCGGAUUUAUUGGGCGUAAAGAGCUCGUAGGCGGUUUGGUAAGUCUGGUGUGAAAUCUCCACGCUCAACGUGGAGGGGCCACCCGAUACUGCCAUGACUGGAGUCCGGUAGAGGAGUGUGGAAUUCCCGGUGUAGCGGUGAAAUGCGCAGAUAUCGGGAGGAACACCCGUAGCGAAGGCGGCACUCUGGGCCGGUACUGACGCUGAGGAGCGAAAGCGUGGGGAGCAAACAGG